GCCAGACUCCUACGGGAGGCAGCAGUGGGGAGUAUUGGACAAUGGGGGGAACCCUGAUCCAGCGACGCCGCGUGAGUGAAGAAGUAUUUCGGUAUGUAAAGCUCUAUCAGCAGGGAAGAAAGAAAUGACGGUACCUGACUAAGAAGCCCCGGCUAACUACGUGCCAGCAGCCGCGGUAAUACGUAGGGGGCAAGCGUUAUCCGGAUUUACUGGGUGUAAAGGGAGCGUAGACGGCAGUGCAAGUCUGGAGUGAAAGGCGGGGGCUCAACCCCCGGACUGCUCUGGAAACUGUACGGCUGGAGUGCAGGAGAGGUAAGUGGAAUUCCUAGUGUAGCGGUGAAAUGCGUAGAUAUUAGGAGGAACACCAGUGGCGAAGGCGGCCUGCUGGACGACAACUGACGGUGAGGCGCGAAAGCGUGGGGAGCAAACAGGAUUAGAUACCCCAGUAC
rnacentral:rRNA from 1 species